rnacentral:sRNA from 14 species
UGAGGACAAGCUGGCUGCAAUAUCUUGUCUACACAUUAAUCACCAGAUCGAUUGACUCUGCUGAUCUAACUAGCUCUAAGGAUGUCCCCUUCCUUCCUCA